UAUUCUUUUUGAGACUGGGAUUCUCUGGGAUUGAUACGAGGUCCUCCGGUCGUGAUUAAAGCAUAUUCUGAGGCACUAUCUGGAGUCUGUUUAGGUUUCUGCUGCGCAUGCGCAACAGACUACUAGAGAAUCUUCCACACUCAAGUGAUAGUGUUAGGUGGAGCACUAAAGAUCUUAUUAUUCCCCAGUGAUAGUGCUCAAACAGACUCGACUAGACGCAGUGCUAGAGUAAAAAUAUGAUUAAGUGUUAACUAGACGCUCGGGUGUCGACUGGAGGCGCUCCAGAGUCGCUUACAUGGCCAAAGCAAACAGAACAAGCAUACUGAGUUUCUUGCAUGGCCAAAGCAAACAGAACCAGCGUACUGAGGAGACAGGCCAGAAGCCGCCAUGUAGCAGCUGCCAAUGGUUUUGAUUUUCUCUAUGUCCUCGAAGUAAGGCUCUUCCAGUAGCUAAAGGGACAACAGGGAAAAAGAUUAAAAAGUGGCGAGCUACAUGUGCAGGAAGAAUGUUGUACAGCAGACACUCGUUAUGCUCCCUCAGUUCCUUCAUGUCCUCCACUUCCUGCCUGGCCUGCAGACGCCACAGGAAGUCAAGCCUGGCUGUAGUUUCU